GCGCUGGUGGUGUAGUGGUUAAGCGCACAACCAUGUGCAGAGGCUAUAGUCCUCGAUGCGGCUGUCCUGGGUUCAAGUUCUGAUCCCAGUGAGCUUUGCU